rnacentral:tRNA from 1 species
UCCCUGGUGGUCCAGUGGUUAGGACUCGGCACUCCCAGUACAGGGGGCUGGGUUCAAACCCCGGACAGGGAA